rnacentral:rRNA from 1 species
UACAGAGGGUGCGAGCGUUAAUCGGAAUUACUGGGCGUAAAGCGUGCGCAGGCGGUUCGUUGUGUCGGCGGUGAAAGCCCCGGGCUUAACCUGGGAAUGGCCGUUGAAACUGGCGAACUGGAGUGUGGCAGAGGGGGGUGGAAUUCCGCGUGUAGCAGUGAAAUGCGUAGAGAUGCGGAGGAACACCGAUGGCGAAGGCAGCCCCCCUGGGCUAACACUGACGCUGAGGCACGAAAGUGUGGGGAUCAAACAGG